UAAGGGGAACGGGUUGCUUCUUCAUUCUUCUUUCUGGGUUUUACUUAAAAGAAUUACUAAUUUCCCUUCUCUCUCUGACGUUUGUUCCCUAAUCUAUCGACUGCCUCCCAGCACAUCCCUGCUGCUGCGCUUGUCAAUGAAAUUCAAUAGCAUCAAAGCCUUCUGAGCUCUACUUCCAGAUGAGCUGCAUGGAAGAAAUACCUCUGGAGCCAGCUAGUGCUGCUUCACCUUUGGGAACAACCAUCUGUUUCUGUUGUCUUGAUUUCUGAGAGUGUGAAAUCUCAUUAUGGAAUCAUCUGAGGCUUUAGGAGCUGAGACAAAGCUAAGGGACCUUCAGAGACCUGAAGCACAGAAGCAUAUUGUCACAGAAAAAGAAAACAAUGUGGGGCUUCCGCAACAGCCCAACACCUGAGGCUCAGGUGCGGGACAGGCAGAAGUACAGAAACUCACUGCAUGGAGCCACCCAUCUUUGCCAAGAGAAAGGCCACAGGCGCAACAGCUGUUUUCCCACAAACUCACUGGAUCAUCCUUAACUCCUUUGAAAUACU